rnacentral:rRNA from 1 species
GUGCCAGCGCGCGGUAAUACCGGCAGCCCGAGUGAUGACCGCUGUUAUUGGGCCUAAAGCGUCCGUAGCUGGCCGCACAAGUCCGUCGGGAAAUCCGCCCGCUCAACGGGCGGCCGUCCGGCGGAACCUGUGUGGCUUGGGACCGGGAGGCCUGAGGGGUACGAUCGGGGUAGGAGUGAAAUCCUGUAAUCCCGCUCGGACCGCCGAUGGGGAAAUCACCUCAGGAGAAUGGAUCCGACAGUGAGGGACGAAAGCCAGGGUCUCGAACCGGAUUAGAUACCCUUGUAGUCC